AUUGAACGCUGGCGGCAUGCCUUACACAUGCAAGUCGAACGGUAACAGGUCUUCGGAUGCUGACGAGUGGCGAACGGGUGAGUAAUACAUCGGAACGUGCCCGAGAGUGGGGGAUAACGAGGCGAAAGCUUUGCUAAUACCGCAUACGAUCUCAGGAUGAAAGCAGGGGACCGCAAGGCCUUGCGCUCACGGAGCGGCCGAUGGCAGAUUAGGUAGUUGGUGGGAUAAAAGCUUACCAAGCCGACGAUCUGUAGCUGGUCUGAGAGGACGACCAGCCACACUGGGACUGAGACACGGCCCAGACUCCUACGGGAGGCAGCAGUGGGGAAUUUUGGACAAUGGGCGCAAGCCUGAUCCAGCCAUGCCGCGUGCAGGAUGAAGGCCUUCGGGUUGUAAACUGCUUUUGUACGGAACGAAAAGACUCUGGUUAAUACCUGGGGUCCAUGACGGUACCGACAGAAUAAGCACCGGCUAACUACGUGCCAGCAGCCGCCGUAAAAC
rnacentral:rRNA from 1 species